rnacentral:pre_miRNA from 1 species
GGCCCAAAUUUGAAGUAGAGUUGGUUAGUAGGAUCAUUUGGCCAUAUUAAUAUACUCUAGUUCAAGUUUGUGCCC